AGCUUCUUGAAUCCGUGCAGAGGUUUUUUCAGACACCAAUCCAUUUGAGCUGAUCAGAAUCCUAAGAUAAGUGAAGUU
rnacentral:pre_miRNA from 1 species